rnacentral:rRNA from 1 species
UUGAACGCUGGCGGCAGGCCUAACCCCUGCAAGUCGAGCGGGGACUUCGGUCCUAGCGGCGACCGGGUGAGUAAUGCUUGGGAAUCUGCCCCGUAGUGGUGGAUAACGUCCCGGAAGGGACGCUAAUACCGCAUACGUCCUACGGGAGAAAGAGGGGGAUCUUCGGCCCUCUCGCUAUUUGAUGAGCCCAAGUCGGAUUAGCUAGUUGGUAGGGUAAUGGCCUACCAAGGCGACGAUCCGUAGCUGGUCUGAGAGGAUGAUCAGCCACACUGGAACUGAGACACGGUCCAGACUCCUACGGGAGGCAGCAGUGGGGAAUAUUGGACAAUGGGCGAAAGCCUGAUCCAGCCAUGCCGCGUGUGUGAAGAAGGCCUUCGGGUUGUAAAGCACUUUAAGCGGGGAGGAAGGUUCGCGGCCUAAUACGUCGCGGAAUUGACGUUACCCGCAGAAUAAGCACCGGCUAACUCUGUG